AGGUCUGACCUGCCCACUGAAAUUUUAAAUGGCCGCAGUAUCCUAACUGUGCAAAGGUAGCAUAAUCAUUAGUCUUUUAAUUGAAGGCUGGUAUGAACGGUUGGACGAGGUAUAAGCUGUUUCAUAUAAAUUUAUAAUAGAAUUUUAUAUUUUAGUCAAAAAGCUAAAAUAUUAUUAAAAGACGAGAAGACCCUAUAAAUCUUUAUAUUUCAUUAUAUUUAAAUUUUUCAGAUUUGUUUUAUUUUUAUAUGAUAAAAUAUUUUGUUGGGGUGAUGUUAAAAUUUAAUGAACUUUUAAUUUUUUUAAAACAUUAAUUUAUGAGCUAUUGAUCCAUUAUUAGUGAUUAUAAGAUUAAGUUACUUUAGGGAUAACAGCGUAAUUUUUUUGGAGAGUUCAUAUCGAUAAAAAAGUUUGCGACCUCGAUGUUGGAUUAAGAUAUAAUUUUAGGUGUAGCCGCUUAAAU
rnacentral:rRNA from 1 species